rnacentral:rRNA from 1 species
CCUACGGGAGGCUGCAGUGGGGAAUAUUGCGCAAUGGGGGCAACCCUGACGCAGCGACGCCGCGUGAAGGAAGAAGGUUUUCGGAUUGUAAACUUCUUUGGUCGGGGACGAAAAAAAUGACGGUACCCGACAAAAAAGCCACGGCUAACUACGUGCCAGCAGCCGCGGUAAUACGUAGGUGGCAAGCGUUGUCCGGAAUUACUGGGUGUAAAGGGCGCGUAGGCGGGUUUACAAGUCAGAUGUGAAAAUCCGGGGCUCAACCCCGGAAUUGCAACUGAAACUGUAUAUCUUGAGUGUUGGAGAGGGAAGUGGAAUUCCUAGUGUAGCGGUGAAAUGCGUAGAUAUUAGGAGGAACACCAGUGGCGAAGGCGACUUUCUGGCCAACAACUGACGCUGAGGCGCGAAAGCGUGGGGAGCAAACAGGAUUAGAUACCCCAGUAGUC